rnacentral:lncRNA from 1 species
GGACGUUAGCAAAAGGUUCUCCAAACAUGCUUUUGGCUUCUUAGAAGUCAGCUUUCAGAAGCAGGUUGUUCGUUCAAGCUUUUGAGUUUUGGCAACAUCUUAGACGUGGCAGGUCGUCAUUCAUGUUUCACUUCACAUACUUCUUCUAAAAUUAAUGAAGUGGGUACGAACAACAGCAGCAGAGUUGUAAAUGUGGGGG